UGGGGAAUUUUGGACAAUGGGCGAAAGCCUGAUCCAGCCAUGCCGCGUGAGUGAAGAAGGCCUUCGGGUUGUAAAGCUCUUUUAGUCGGAAAGAAAGAGUCGCAAUGAAUAAUUGUGAUUUAUGACGGUACCGACAGAAAAAGCACCGGCCAACUACGUGCCAGCAGCCGCGGUAAUACGUAGGGUGCGAGCGUUAAUCGGAAUUACUGGGCGUAAAGGGUGCGCAGGCGGUUUUGCAAGUCAGAUGUGAAAGCCCCGGGCUUAACCUGGGAAUUGCGUUUGAAACUACAAGGCUAGAGUGCAGCAGAGGGGAGUGGAAUUCCAUGUGUAGCAGUGAAAUGCGUAGAGAUGUGGAAGAACACCGAUGGCGAAGGCAGCUCCCUGGGUUGACACUGACGCUCAUGCACGAAAGCGUGGGGAGCAAACA
rnacentral:rRNA from 1 species